GAAAUAAUAAAAAUAAAGCUUCUAACUUUAUGUCGGAUCUAAUAAAUCCUUGUUUCU
rnacentral:tRNA from 1 species